rfam:Parcubacteria bacterium 33_209 MPI_scaffold_770, whole genome shotgun sequence.
GGGCGAGUGAUGGAAUUGGCAGACAUCUAUGCUUGAGGGGCAUAGGGGAUUAUUCCCGUGCGGGUUCAAGUCCCGCUUCGCCCA